UCUCGAAUCCACCUCACGGGAACAAAAGAAAGCUGACCACAAACAUCUACCAGCAUCCCGUGGGUACAUGAUGGGAGGCAUCAGUGGGAGGAGUCCCGAAGGAGGACUCAGCUCAAGGCUUCCAGAAGGAAGAGGAACACAGGUGUCAUCACCUGACUGAGGUUCUGACCAAUGGAACACAGGUGGAAGUUGUUGGAGAAAACGCCUUAAAACGGGAACAGCUGCAAUAUCAGCUGCAAGACAUUCUUUUACCUUUCCACCUGCCUGGGACCUGGAUGUGGAACUGCAGUGUGCCUUGCAAACUUGAAGAGAACGACCUUGAUAAUGGAUGGUGAAGCAAGAAAGAGGAGCCUGAGGCUGAGCGCAGUGACUCACACCUGUAAUCCCAGCACUUUGGGAGGCUAAGGUGGGCAGAUUGCUUGAGCCCAGGAAUUUGAGACCAGCCUGGAUAACGCGUGGUGGGCAGUUCCAGGACACCUGACAUGUUCCCACUGCAGAAACCACACGGGUUUCUCCAGCACCACUGAGACUUGCUCAGCCUGUGUAGAGUAGCCUGGACAUACUGGGGCUUUAUUUUCCUGAGGACAACCCUCAACCAAUGAGUGCCAGGAAUCAGUACUAUAUACAACAUGUGCUAUAUACAACAGACUCAUGUAUAUAAAUGUGUAUUUGUUGUUGAGAAUUUUUUUUGGAAGGAGACACAGGAAAUUGGUAAGCCUGAUUACUUCCAUAAAGGAGAACUGGGGUUGGGGUAUCUGAAUGACAGAGGCUGGGAGGUGGAAGCUGUAGUGAGCCAUG
rnacentral:lncRNA from 1 species